CCUACGGGAGGCAGCAGUGGGGAAUAUUGGACAAUGGGGGGAACCCUGAUCCAGCCAUGCCGCGUGUGUGAAGAAGGCCCUCGGGUUGUAAAGCACUUUCAGUGAGGAAGAACGCCUGGUGGUUAAUACCCAUCAGGAAAGACAUCACUCACAGAAGAAGCACCGGCUAACUCCGUGCCAGCAGCCGCGGUAAUACGGAGGGUGCGAGUGUUAAUCGGAAUUACUGGGCGUAAAGCGCGCGUAGGUGGCUUGAUAAGUCGGUUGUGAAAGCCCCGGGCUCAACCUGGGAACGGCAUCCGGAACUGUCAAGCUAGAGUGCAGGAGAGGAAGGUAGAAUUCCCGGUGUAGCGGUGAAAUGCGUAGAGAUCGGGAGGAAUACCAGUGGCGAAGGCGGCCUUCUGGACUGACACUGACACUGAGGUGCGAAAGCGUGGGUAGCAAACAGGAUUAGAUACCCUUGUAGUC
rnacentral:rRNA from 1 species